GUUGUAUUAGCUAGUUGGUGGGGUAACGGCUCACCAAGGCGACGAUACAUAGCCGACCUGAGGGGGUGAUCGGCCACACUGGGACUGAGACACGGCCCAGACUCCUACGGGAGGCAGCAGUAGGGAAUCUUCGGCAAUGGACGGAAGUCUGACCGAGCAACGCCGCGUGAGUGAAGAAGGUUUUCGGAUCGUAAAGCUCUGUUGUAAGAGAAGAACGAGUGUGAGAGUGGAAAGUUCACACUGUGACGGUAUCUUACCAGAAAGGGACGGCUAACUACGUGCCAGCAGCCGCGGUAAUACGUAGGUCCCGAGCGUUGUCCGGAUUUAUUGGGCGUAAAGCGAGCGCAGGCGGUUUGAUAAGUCUGAAGUUAAAGGCUGUGGCUCAACCAUAGUUCGCUUUGGAAACUGUCAAACUUGAGUGCAGAA
rnacentral:rRNA from 1 species